AUACGGAGGAUGCAAGCGUUAUCCGGAUUUAUUGGGUUUAAAGGGUGCGUAGGCGGAGGAGUAAGUCAGGGGUGAAAUGCCGCAGCUCAACUGCGGAACUGCCUUUGAUACUGCUUUUCUGGAGUCCGGAUGCCGUGGGAGGAAUGGGCAGUGUAGCGGUGAAAUGCAUAGAUAUUGCCCAGAACACCGAUUGCGAAGGCAUCUCACGAAUCCGGGACUGACGCUGAGGCACGAAAGCGUGGGGAUCAAACAGGAUUAGAUACCCUGGUAGUCCACACAGUAAACGAUGAUAACUAACCGUCGGCGAUAGACAGUCGGUGGCCAAGCGAAAGCGAUAAGUUAUCCACCUGGGGAGUACGUUCGCAAGAAUGAAACUCAAAUGAAUUGACGGGG
rnacentral:rRNA from 1 species